ensembl:rRNA 5S_rRNA 5S ribosomal RNA
AUCUAUGGCUAUACCACCCUGAACGUGCCCAAUCUCGUCUGAUCUCAGAAGCUAAGCAGGGUCGGGCCUGGUUAGUACUUGGAUGGAAAAAGAUUCUCAUCUCUUCAAUUCUGGAACUUAUAUUUU